rnacentral:rRNA from 1 species
UACGUAGGGCGCAAGCGUUAUCCGGAAUUAUUGGGCGUAAAGAGCUCGUAGGCGGUUUGUCGCGUCUGCCGUGAAAGUCCGGGGCUCAACUCCGGAUCUGCGGUGGGUACGGGCAGACUAGAGUGAUGUAGGGGAGACUGGAAUUCCUGGUGUAGCGGUGAAAUGCGCAGAUAUCAGGAGGAACACCGAUGACGAAGGCAGGUCUCUGGGCAUUAACUGACGCUGAGGAGCGAAAAGCAUGGGGAGCGAACAGG